rnacentral:rRNA from 1 species
GAUGAACGCUGGCGGCGUGCCUAAUACAUGCAAGUCGAGCGAACAGACGAGGAGCUUGCUCCUCUGACGUUAGCGGCGGACGGGUGAGUAACACGUGGAUAACCUACCUAUAAGACUGGGAUAACUUCGGGAAACCGGAGCUAAUACCGGAUAAUAUAUUGAACCGCAUGGUUCAAUAGUGAAAGACGGUUUUGCUGUCACUUAUAGCUGGAUCCGCGCCGCAUUAGCUAGUUGGUAAGGUAACGGCUUACCAAGGCGACGAUGCGUAGCCGACCUGAGAGGGUGAUAGGCCACACUGGAACUGAGACACGGUCCAGACUCCUACGGGAGGCAGCAGUAGGGAAUCUUCCGCAAAGGGCGAAAGCCUGACGGAGCAACGCCGCGUGAGUGAUGAAGGUCUUCGGAUCGUAAAACUCUGUUAUUAGGGAAGAACAAAUGUGUAAGUAACUAUGCACGUCUUGACGGUACCUAAUCAGAAAGCCACGGCUAACUACGUG